rnacentral:rRNA from 1 species
GAUGAACGCUAGCGGGAGGCCUAACACAUGCAAGCCGAGCGGUAGAGUUCCUUCGGGAACUUGAGAGCGGCGUACGGGUGCGUAACACGUGUGCAACCUACCUUUCUCUGGGGGAUAGCCUUUCGAAAGGAAGAUUAAUACCCCAUAAUAUAAUGAUUGGCAUCAAUUAUUAUUGAAAACUCCGGUGGAUAGAGAUGGGCACGCGCAAGAUUAGAUAGUUGGUGAGGUAACGGCUCACCAAGUCAAUGAUCUUUAGGGGUCCUGCGAGGGAGAUCCCCCACACUGGUACUGAGACACGGACCAGACUCCUACGGGAGGCAGCAGUGAGGAAUAUUGGACAAUGGGUGAAAGCCUGAUCCAGCCAUCCCGCGUGAAGGAUGACGGUCCUAGGGAUUGUAAACUUCUUUUGUACAGGGAUAAACCUACUCUCGUGAGGGUAGCUGAAGGUACUGUACGAAUAAGCACCGGCUAACUCCGUG